rnacentral:rRNA from 1 species
GACGAACCGAGCGAACGUUGUUCGGAAUCACUGGGCUUAAAGGGCGCGUAGGCGGGUGCUCAAGUCCGGGGUGAAAUCCUCCAGCUCAACUGGAGAACUGCCUCGGAUACUGGGUGCCUCGAGGGUGGCAGGGGUAUGCGGAACUAUCGGUGGAGCGGUGAAAUGCGUUGAUAUCGAUAGGAACUCCGGUGGCGAAGGCGGCAUACUGGACCACAUCUGACGCUGAGGCGCGAAAGCCAGGGGAGCAAACGGG